rnacentral:rRNA from 1 species
GUGCGCACUGCUCAGUAACACGUAGCUAACCUAACCUCAAGACGGAAAUAACCCCGGGAAACUGGGGUCAAUGUCCGAUAGAUGUGAAUUCCUGGAAUGGUGUCACAUCCAAACGUCAACACACCAUGUUGUGCGAACGCUUGAGGAUGGGGCUGCGGCCGAUCAGGCUGUUGGUGGGGUAAUGGCCCACCAAACCUUUGACCGGUAUGGGCCAUGAGAGUGGUAGCCCAGAGAUGGACACUGAGACAAGGGUCCAGGCCCUACGGGGCGCAGCCGGUACGAAACCUCCACAAUGCACGCAAGUGCGAUGGGGUUAUCUCGAGUGCUAUCUGAAAAAGGUAGCUUUUCCAUGGUCUAAAUAGCCGUGGGAAUAAGGGGGGGGCAAGACUGGUGUCAGCCGCCGCGGUAACACCAGCCCCCCGAGUGGUAGGGAUGUUUAUUUGGCCUAAAGCGUCCGUAGCCGGCUAAGUAAAUUUCUCGUUAAAUCCAACGUCCUAAGCGUUGGGCUGCGAGAAAGACUGCUUAGCUAGAGGGUGGGAGAGGUCAGCGGUAUUCCUGGGGUAGGGGCGAAAUCCAUUGAACCCAGGAGGACCACCAGUGGCGAAGGCUGCUGACUAGAACACGCCUGACGGUGAGGGACGAAAGCUGGGGUAGCGAAUCGGAUUAGAUACCCGAGUAGUCCCAGCCGUAAACGAUGCAGACUAGGUGUUGGGUUGGCCACGCGCCGACUCAGUGCCACAGGGAAGCCAUUAAGUCUGCCGCCUGGGAAGUACGGCCGCAAGGCUGAAACUUAAAGGAAUUGGCGGGGGAGCACCACCAGGCGUGAAGCCUGCGGUUUAAUUGGAGUCAACGCCGGGAACCUUACCGGGAGCGACAGCAGAGUGAAGGCCAGGCUAAAGGUCUUGCCAGACGAGCUGAGAGGAGGUGCAUGGCCGUCGCCAGUUCGUGCCGUGAGGUGUCCUCUUAAGUGAGGUAACGAACGAGACCCGCGCCGCAUGUUGCUAACAAGUCCUAAAGGGAUGUUGAGCACUCUUGCGGGACCGCAGCCGACAAGGCUGAGGAAGGUGCGGGCAACGGCAGGUCAGUAUGCCCCGAAUCUCCCGGGCCACACGCGGGCUGCAAUGGUAGAGACAGAGGGCUGCAACCCCGAAAGGGGAAGCCAAUCCCUAAACUCUACCUCAGUUGGGAUUGAGGGCUGCAACCC